AGGGUUAGGGAUAUGGUUAGGGUUAGGGUUAGGGUUAGGGUUAGGGUUAGGGUUAGGGUCAGACUAACCUCUGUCUGUAGGUGAUGGUAACCCAGGGUGUAUGGUUAGGGUUAGGGAUAUGGUUAGGGUUAGGGUUAGGGAUAUGGUUAGGGUUAGGUUCAGUCUAACCUCUGUCUGUAGGUGAUGGUAACCCAGGGUGUAUGGUUAGGGUUAGGGUUAGGGAUAGAGUUAGGGUUAGGGUUAGGGAUAUGGUUAGGGUUAGGGUUAGGGUUAGGGUCAGACUAACCUCUGUCUGUAGGUGAUGGUAACCCAGGGUGUAUGGUUAUGGUUAGGGUUAGGGAUAGGGUUAGGGUUAGGGUUAGGGUCAGUUUAACCUCUGUCUGUAGGUGAUGGUAACCCAGGGUGUAUGGUUAGGGUUAGGGAUAUGGUUAGGGUUAGGGUUAGGGUUAGGGUCAGUCUAACCUCUGUCUGUAGGUGAUGGUAACCCAGGGUGUAUGGUUAGGGUUAGGGUUAGGGUUAGGGUUAGGGUUAGGGAUAUGGUUAGGGUUAGGGUUAGGGUUAGGGUUAGGUUCAGUCUAACCUCUGUCUGUAGGUGAUGGUAACCCAGGGUGUAUGGUUAGGGUUAGGGUUAGGGUUAGGGUUAGGGUUAGGGUUAGGGAUAUGGUUAGGGUUAGGGAUAUGGUUAGGGAUAUGGUUAGGGUUAGGGUUAGGGUCAGUCUUACCUCUGUCUGUAGGUGAUGGUAACCCAGGGUGUAUGGUUAGGGUUAGGGUUAGGGUUAGGGUUAGGGAUAUGGUUAGGGUUAGGGUUAGGGAUAUGGUUAGGGUUAGGGUUAGGUUCAGUCUAACCUCUGUCUGUAGGUGAUGGUAACCCAGGGUGUAUGGUUAGGGUUAGGGAUAUGGUUAGGGUUAGGGAUAUGGUUAGGGAUAUGGUUAGGGUUAGG